UACGUAGGUGGCAAGCGUUGUCCGGAUUUACUGGGCGUAAAGAGCGCGCAGGCGGUCGUUCAAGUCGCGUGUGAAAGCCCCCGGCUCAACUGGGGAGGGUCACGCGAUACUGAUCGACUCGAAGGCAGGAGAGGGUAGUGGAAUUCCCGGUGUAGUGGUGAAAUGCGUAGAUAUCGGGAGGAACACCAGAGGCGAAGGCGGCGACCUGGACAGUUACUGACACUCAACUGCGAAAGCGUGGGGAGCAAACAGG
rnacentral:rRNA from 1 species